rnacentral:rRNA from 1 species
UAAACUCCUGUUGUUGAGGAAGAUAAUGACGGUACUCAACAAGGAAGUGACGGCUAACUACGUGCCAGCAGCCGCGGUAAAACGUAGGUCACAAGCGUUGUCCGGAAUUACUGGGUGUAAAGGGAGCGCAGGCGGGAAGACAAGUUGGAAGUGAAAUCCAUGGGCUCAACCCAUGAACUGCUUUCAAAACUGUUUUUCUUGAGUAGUGCAGAGGUAGGCGGAAUUCCCGGUGUAGCGGUGGAAUGCGUAGAUAUCGGGAGGAACACCAGUGGCGAAGGCGGCCUACUGGGCACCAACUGACGCUGAGGCUCGAAAGUGUGGGUAGCAAACAGGAUUAGAUACCCUGGUAGUCCACACUGUAAACGAUGAUUACUAGGUGUUGGAGGAUUGACCCCUUCAGUGCCGCAGUUAACACAAUAAGUAAUCCACCUGGGGAGUACGACCGCAAGGUUGAAACUCAAAGGAAUUGACGGGGGCCCGCACAAGCAGUGGAGUAUGUGGUUUAAUUCGACGCAACGCGAAGAACCUUACCAAGUCUUGACAUCCCUUGACGAUGCUGGAAACAGUAUUUCUCUUCGGAGCAAGGAGACAGGUGGUGCAUGGUUGUCGUCAGCUCGUGUCGUGAGAUGUUGGGUUAAGUCCCGCAACGAGCGCAACCCUUAUGGUCAGUUACUACGCAAGAGGACUCUGGCCGAACUGCCGUUGACAAA